GCGCGAAACCUCUGCAAUGCGGGAAACCGUGACAGGGGGAUCCCAAGUGCUCAUGCAUUGCAUGGGCUGUUCUUUGGUCUAAGUAACCAGAGGAGUAAGGGCUGGGCAAGACCGGUGCCAGCCGCCGCGGUAAUACCGGCAGCUCAAGUGGUAGCCGCGAUUAUUGGGCCUAAAGCGUUCGUAGCCGGAUAAGUAAGUCUUUGGUUAAAUCCUGCGACUUAACCGUGGGAAAUCUAGAGAUACUGCUUGUCUUGAGACCGGGAGAGGUUGGAGGUACUCCCAGGGUAGGGGUGAAAUCCUGUAAUCCUGGGGGGACCACCUGUGGCGAAGGCGUCCAACUGGAACGGGUCUGACGGUGAGGGACGAAACCUAGGGGAGCGAGCCGGAUUAGAUACCCGGGUAGUCCUAGGCGUAAAUGAUGCGAGUUAAGUGUGGGGGCAUCCACGAGAUGGCCCUGUGCUGUAGGGUAGCCGUUAAACUCGCCGCCUGGGGAGUACGGUCGCAAGGCUGAAACUUAAAGGAAUUGGCGGGGGAGCACCACAAGG
rnacentral:rRNA from 1 species